GUGCGCUUGCGGAUCAUUUCCUUAUUGCGUUACCAAAUAUCAACAAGCAUUUCUGGCGCCGUUGCCGGGGAGAAAGACGGUUUGCUGAGAUAACUUUGAGUCUUGUUAUUAUCUUGUAUUAUACUUUUAUACUUUUAUUCUUUUAUCUUUUUAUUUUUAUCUUUAUGGAUAACUUAAAUUCCAUACCUAUUAUUAAAUUCUUUGCACCUUCGGAGACCAGCCAUAGACCAUGGGAGUC
rnacentral:lncRNA from 1 species